CGCGUAGGCGGGCCUUCAAGUCGGGUGUGAAAACUGACAGCUUAACUGUCAGCCUGCACUCGAUACUGUUGGUCUUGAGUACAGUAGAGGAAAGCGGAAUUCCAGGUGUAGCGGUGAAAUGCGUAGAUAUCUGGAAGAACACCAGUAGCGAAGGCGGCUUUCUGGGCUGAUACUGACGCUGAAGCGCGAAGGCUAGGGUAGCAAACA
rnacentral:rRNA from 1 species